UUUAACUCAUUGUCAUCUGGGACACACACCCUGUCUUAGAAACGAAGUAGUCCAUCGGUAGAUAUUCGGAAUUCUGAGCUCCCUCCCUGUUCUGCAUCCUUCUUGCAGGCUACCAGGGCGGGGUCAACUGUCUGGGCUUCCCUUAUUCUCUGAAUUAACUCGGGCUGGACUGUCAGGCGGCCCAAACAUGUGACUCUCUUCAGAUCAUGAAGUCGAACUUGUUGUGUGGCCCUAAU
rnacentral:lncRNA from 1 species